GCCGGGAUCCCGCGGACCACACCUCCCCCGGACCCCCUCCCCCACUUCCCACUCUUGGACCCUCGGACCCCUCUGCCCCCUCGUCCCUCCUCUCCCUGCCACCCGGACCCCCACCUCCAGCCGGCUCUGCGCCGGCCGCCCCCAACCGGGAGGCUCCGGGCUCGGUGUUCCCACGGCGUCACGUGGGGAGGGGCGGGGCGAGGGAGGCAGGUGGGUGGGGGACACGCAUGCGCAGGGUGAACGCGCUCCCGCUCCGUUGGCGCCCGCUUGCGUAGGGUGGACGCGCUCCCUUUGGCGCCGGGAGGGGGGGGGGGUCUGCGGAGCGCGGUCGCGGGUGGUCGCGUCCUACCGCCGGAGCCCGUUCAAAGCUCUUUCUCGGACGGCGGAAUCGGAACCUGCAGAGACCUUGGCCCAGCGGCAAGAAGAAGCUAGUAUUUCAGUCGGCUCACCUCCCUGAUGUCACAGAACCGUCACAAAAGCCUAGAAGGAUCCCUGUUUGAGAUGAGAAGGCCCAGCCCCGGAGAGCAGAGAUGGGAACGUGGCAUCUGAGUUCCAGGUGCACCGUGUUCAGUGCUGUGUGUGGAUCGGGGGGGGAUUAUCCUCACAACUCUGAGGGUUCCCACCCAUUUUACACAUCAGGAAGCCGAGGCACGGCGACGUCCAGGAACCUGCCAGGAGCGCUGUCCUGGUGAGGGUCCUGGCAGCUGCGAUGCCUUCAGCUGUGUCACCACACCCUGACUCAGGGCUUAGACGUAAAAGAUGUCGAUUGUCGUAUGUGAGAAGAGACCCCGGGUGGACGGCGCUGCGCUUACCUCAGCAGCUUGGUGACCUCAUCGUGGAUUCAGGCUCUUCUCUUGUGUUGAGGUGAAUGGUGUCCCCGUGUUCAGGUCAACCUGGAACCUCAGAACACGGUCUUGUUUGGAAGUAGGGUCUUUGCAGAUGUAUGACCCGAGGAUGAGGCCAUGCUGGAGGAGGGUGGGCCCUGAAUCGGUGACCGGUGUCCUUGUGAGCCGCGUGAGGGCCGGAGGAGGAGGCCACACGAGGGAGGCGGAGAUUGGAGUGACCUGGCUACACCAGGGGCUGGACAGCGGCAAGGACCCUCCCCGGAGCCCCCGGAGGGAAGCACUCUGCACCACUUGGAUGUCAGGCCUCUGGUCUCCAGACUCUGAGGGCACGUGCUUCUGUUGUUGCGAGCCGUCCAGUCUGUGGUGCCCUGUUACGGCCUCCCCAGGAGGCGAAUACGCCACCCUUGACGUGACUUCCCUCUCGGAUUAGUUCCUUUCCUGGCUGCAAAGUAGUGGCUGUGGCUCCACCUGUCCCGUCAGCCUGCAGAAAAGACCCUCUUCCCGCGGGGCCUUUUUUGAAUAAGGGGACCAUUCCCAGAAAUCCCUAGCCAGCUUCCCCUCAUGUCUCUUUGGCCAGACUUGUGUCCUGUGACUUUCCCUAAACCGAGGUCAUCGCUGCCCAAAGAACUUUCUGAGAUGAUGGAAUGUUCUAGAUCUGUGCUGUCCAGUAUGGUAGCUCCACGUGACCCUGAGCCAUUGAAAUGUGGCCGGUGUGACUAACAAACUAAAUUUUAAUUUUACUUAACUUUAAAUUCAACUGGUCCCACGAGGCACGUGCUUACUGUGCUGGGUGGCUCGUCUAGUUUCCUUUGGUCUUUGGACCUUGUCUGAGGAGGUGGGUAUCUGAGCAGAAGUGAACCUGUGAUGUGGACAAGCCAGAAUUUGCACCAAGCUGCGGGGACUGCUAACCUUGUUUUCCUCCCACUCCUACAAUUUUGACACUGCCGACCUCUCCAUUCACUAGAAUUUCCCUGAUGAGACCUUUCUGCUUUUUGAGGUGCCCUCGCUCGUGUCCUUUCAGGCGCUCUUCCUGAAUGAAGGUUUUUACAGCGUGUGCCCAACUCUGCCCGAGGUGCUGUGGGGCACAGAAAGACAGUGACCCUGCCCAGGCAGACUGACUCUGGGAGCGGAAGGGAGCUCGAGCCUGGACACGUGUCAGUGAAGUGACUAGGACUCCGUGUCGCCCAGUCUUUCCUGAAGUGUGGUUCUCAUAUCCUGGCAAUACACAAGGAACUAUGGGAGGCUGACUGAGUAGAGCUGUCCUUUGGCCGCAAAUGUAGCUUAUUCCUUGAAGGAAAGGGGCAGAGUGUCUCCAGGGUGGACUAGCUCAGUGGCUCGACAACAUCCCUAAAGACCUAGGUCUUUCCAUCUGUUUGCACUGCCAUCUUCAGCAUGCUGGCUUAGCCGCCCUCGUGGUCACAAAACGGUAGCCACAGCACCAGGCAUCACAUGUGGAUGCAGUCACGUGUACUGGAAGAAAAGACCAUUUCUUCCCUAGUUCUCUUUUUCAGAAACUCUCCACCAUUCCUCCCCACCCCCUCCCUCAUUUCCCCCAAAUGGCAAAAUCCAUUCACAGUAAGGGAAAUGGGAUUACCAAAGUGGCUUAAACCAAUUAUGAGCAGUGUGAGGUGCCUAGACAUCUGGGAACUUCUUGGGCUCCACCCCAGAGCUGGAAACUCCGCGAGUGGGCCCAGUGAUCGACGUUUCCAGGUGAUUCCAACAUCCAUUAAUGUUUGGGAACAAACAGUUUAAGACAAUUGCUUGCAAUCCUGUUGGAUUAACCACGACUUACGAAUGCCUGGUGUUUUGAAACCCUCCACCCUGAAAUGAACUUGAGAUACAUAUAACACUUACCCGCACAUUCAUUUCCCCUUAAAAUUCACGCGGUGGCAUAAAGCAACAGUGAAAAGAGAAGCUCAAGGACAACGCUUGAUGGUAACCUAGGGGGUGUUUCAGGAUGCAAACACGUACGCUUCGUCCUGUAGGAGCACCGUGAUGGCAACAGGGUCCGGUGCCUUUUGAGACCCCCCCAUGCACGUGGCAGCCACAGACACCGUUGGAGGUGCUGUAUACAACUUGGCAUUCCAAAGUAGGGGGCACCUCUUGGUAAAGUCUGAGCUACACAGAAUAAAUAACGUGUCAAUACGUGUGAUGGUUUUGUUAAUUCCGUGGGUAUUAAAACCAUACUGAAAAGUGAAACAUGGAAUCACCACGCGACCCGGCAAUCCCGCUUCUGGGAGUGCACCUCAAACAAUUCAAACCAGGGACUCAAAUGGGGAUUUGCACCCCCGUGUUCUCAGCAGCACACUCCACAACAGCCAAAGACAAAAAAAAGUGGACACACCCCGAGUGUCCAUCGGUGGAUGAAGGAUGAACACGACGUGGUCCGUCCACACCCCGGAGGAUGACCCAGCCCCAGGAAGGGAGGACGUCCUGCCACCUGCCACCACAUGGACGGACCUGGAGGUCACUGUGUGCAGUGACAGGAACCAGACACAGAAGGACACGUCCCGCGUGACCCCACUCACAGGGGGUCCCUAGAGGAGAGACAGAGAGUAGACGCUGGGAGCCAGGGGUGCGGCAGGGGGCUGGGAGUCAGUGCUUCACGGGACAGGGUCUCAGUCUGGGGAGACGGAAAGUUCUGGAGACGGGUGGCGGGGGCGGCUGCGCGACAGUGUGAGUGCGCUCGAUGCUGUUGAGCUGUGCGCUUGGAGACGGUUACGAUGAGGGGCGCCGGGCUGGCUUGGUGGAGCAUGCGACUCUUGACCUUGGGGCUGUGAGAUCGAGCCCCACAUUGGGCGUGGAGAUUACUUAAAAAUAAAAUCUUUAAAGAAAAAGAAAUGGUUAAGGUGGCAAAUCUUAUGUGUUUUCUACCACAGGAAGUGAACAGAAGUUGCCUCCCAUGGCUUGGGUUAUGACUGAGACGAGUUAAGAUUGGAGGCACGGUGGUCACACAGGGUUUCCCACAUACACGAGAGCCUGCAGGUCAUUCUGAGGUCCCUGGGGACCUAGGGCGGUUGGCAUCAAUGGGAGACUUCCCGUGUUAGGAGCAGGGCGCCCCCGCUUUCUGAAGAGCUCACACUGGUCGUCUUGCCGUCCCUGGGUCUGUGUCUGACUGGUGUUUGCUCACGAUUGGGCUCAGGUUGUGCGUUCUGGGCGAGCAGCACAGAGCUGUGUGUUCCCCACUGAGCAAAGCAGGAGGCAGGGACGGGUGCCAGUCCCGAUACCGGUUCUGGAAACUUGGAUCGCUUGGUGUACUGGUACGAAUGGCGCUCCCCCAAAUUCGUGUCUGCCAGAGCCUUAGAAUGUGACUUUCUUUGGAAAUAGGGUCUUUGCAGACGUAAUCUAGUUUAGAUGACAGGAUGCCGUAAAUCUACACGACCGGUGUCCUAAAAGGAGAGAAGUUGGACGCAGACACACAUGUGACAACAGGGGCAGAGACUGGAGUGUGCCUGGCAGCCGAGGACAUCUGGCCACCCCCGUCAGAAGCUGGAGGACGCAAAGCGUCAGCUGCCCUGGAGCCCUCGGCUGCAGUGUGGUCCUGCCCACGCUUUGGGUUUCGAUGUUUGGCCUCCAGAACUGAGAGAAAAUAAAUUCCUGUUGUUCUAAGCUGU